rnacentral:rRNA from 1 species
CCUAGGGUGCACCAGUGGGGAAUAUUGCACAAUGGGCGCAAGCCUGAUGCAGCCAUGCCGCGUGUAUGAAGAAGGCCUUCGGGUUGUAAAGUACUUUCAGCGGGGAGGAAGGCGAUAAGGUUAAUAACCUUGUCGAUUGACGUUACCCGCAGAAGAAGCACCGGCUAACUCCGUGCCAGCAGCCGCGGUAAUACGGAGGGUGCAAGCGUUAAUCGGAAUUACUGGGCGUAAAGCGCACGCAGGCGGUCUGUCAAGUCGGAUGUGAAAUCCCCGGGCUUAACCUGGGAACUGCAUUCGAAACUGGCAGGCUAGAGUCUUGUAGAGGGGGGUAGAACUCCAGGUGUAUCGGUGAAAUGCGUAGAGAUCUGGAGGAAUACCGGUGGCGAAGGCGGCCCCCUGGACAAAGACUGACGCUCAGGUGCGAAAGCGUGGGGAGCAAGCAGGAUUAGAUACCCUUGUAGUC